rnacentral:rRNA from 1 species
CCUACGGGUGGCAGCAGUGAGGAAUAUUGGUCAAUGGACGAGAGUCUGAACCAGCCAAGUAGCGUGAAGGAUGACUGCCCUAUGGGUUGUACACUUCUUUUAUAAAGGAAUAAAACGAGGCACGUGUGCCUUUUUGUAUGUACUUUAUGAAUAAGGAUCGGCUAACUCCGUGCCAGCAGCCGCGGUAAUACGGAGGAUCCGAGCGUUCUCCGGAUUUAUUGGGUUUAAAGGGAGCGUAGAUGGGUUGUUAAGUCAGUUGUGAAAGUUUGCGGCUCAACCGUAAAAUUGCAAUUGAUACUGGCAGUCGUGAGUACAGUUGAGGUAGGCGGAAUUCGUGGUGGAGCGGUGAAAUGCUUAGAUAUCACGAAGAACCCCGAUUGCGAAGGCAGCUUACUAAACUGUGACUGACAUUGAUGCUCGAAAGUGUGGGUAUCAAACAGGAGUAGAUACCCCUGUAGUC